GACGAACGCUGGCGGCGUGCUUAACACAUGCAAGUGGAGCGACGAACCGGUCUUCGGACCGGGGCAGAGCCGCGAACGGGUGAGUAACACGUGGGUAACCCACCCCGAUGACCGGGACAACCCGAGGAAACUCGGGCUAAUACCGGAUGAGCUCUCAUCUCUUGAGAGAUGUGAGGAAAGAUAGCUUCGGCCUUCGCAUCGGGACGGGCCCGCGGCCCAUUAGCUUGUUGGUGGGGUAACGGCCACCAAGGCGACGAUGGGUAGCUGGUCUGAGAGGACGAUCAGCCACACUGGGACUGAGACACGGCCCAGACUCCUACGGGAGGGCAGCAGUGGGGAAUCUUGCACAAUGCGCGAAAGCGUGAUGCAGCAACGCCGCGUGGGGGAAGAAGGCC
rnacentral:rRNA from 1 species